UUUAAGAAAUAGCUUCUUAUAUAGUAAAUUAUCCAUCUAUGCAACAAACAAAAGGAAAAAAAAAACACUUGGCUGAUCUUUUAUUACAAUUAUUGAGAUAAUGAGUAGAAAAAAGGAAGUCAUGUCAGAGAGCUAGUUAAAAGGGCAUCUGUUAAGAGAGAGACUGCUGAAUAGACUACUAAUAACAACGAAGAUAUGUUUCAACCAGAACUAGUACUGCAGCAGGCGGAAAAGGAUCAAAUUGCCCUUAAAGGGUACAGGAGACAACAGGAACAGGAAAUAAGAGCUAUCACAAAUGUUGAUGGGCCAUCAUGUGCGCAGAUUACAUAUAAGUGUGGCAUCUUGCCUAAAAGCUUGUACAGCAUCCUUUGAAACUGGAACAACGGAAUGAACGCGCUACGACUAUUAGCAUCGCUCACUUCUUUCAUGGAUAAACAUCCAAACUACCUUUGACCAUGCAGAUGAGCACUACAACACAUUUCACAUCAUAUUAAAUAAAUUUUAAAAUAUAAAUUCUAAUAUUCAACUAAUGUAACAGAAUGUUCACCAAGAAUUUAUGUCUUACACAAGAAGCCCAUUCUGUUGUUCAAAAGUUAAAACUCUGCACCAUUUUGUAUCUUCUUCGCAAUUUGUGACAUGAUAACGAGGUCAACAUUUUCUUAGAUGAUAGAAACACUUUGUGAGAGAAAUAUUAAUAAAAAUAAAGUUUUGAUUUUGACUCAGUUACAAGUCAAAGUCCAGAAA